CAUCUGCGGAACGCCUUUUUUUUUUUUUUUUUUUUUUUUUUUUUUUUUUUUUUUUUUUUUUUUUUUUUUUUUUUUUUUUUUUUUGUGAUUGUGAUUGUGAUUUCGUAGUGAACAGACGUGUGUUUUAGUGCUCCGCUUAUAUUUAUUAUAAAAGUCUACUGAAAGUCUACAGAUAAUUAUUUAUUGUGAAGCUAGGACAAAUGGAUCCGAAGCAAAGUCUAUUGCACAAUCUAGAUGUCAACACUAAAGGCAAAGUGAUUUGGACCUCAUCAUAUGAGCUCUUGCAACAAUUUGUAGAAGAAGGUUUGAAUUUAUGCGAUGGAGAAUGGUCUUCCCCUGGUGGCGAUGGCAAACUCUUUGAAUAUGAUGAUACAUCCAUUCGGUGGUAUGUAAAGACACAAACAAUCACAGUCAGU